GUGACUGGAACUCGGUGCUGUAUCCCAGAGCAGAGAGACUGAAAGCUGGGAGCUCAGUUCAUCGGAUGGGCCUAAGGGAAGCCCAAGCAGGGUGGAAGAACUUGUGUGACCCUGGAAGGAGAUUGAACUCUGAAAGUGACCCAGUUGGAGGGCAGAGCUACAUGAAUCCCUGGGAGAGGCAGAGAACCCAGACUCUGGAAAUCUGAUCUAAGCUAUCCUGUGACUGACAACUUUACAGCUACACCAAGAGACUCCUUUUGGAAGAAAUCAGUGAAUUGUAGCAAAGCCGCUGAUGCAUAAAAAUCCUUCUUCUGGAAGCCUACAGAAGUCUCAGUAGCAAAGAAUUCAGUGCUGCCUUGGAAAUGGGGUGGAAUGGACAAAGAAGAAAAGAAAUGAGAGAGAAGAUCAACAGUGAUGCGGAGAUGGGAAAUAAUUUAUUGAGGAAGGAACAGCAAAGACAAGGAAAAUACUGCUAAAUCAGAGCAGUGCACACAAAUGUUCCACAUGCACCCGAAGCACGGACUGUGAACAUUAAUCAUUAUCAGGUUAGAGCGGGGGGCGGGGUAGUAAAAAUUGUAGCGAGGGAGAGAAAACUGAAGAAAAAUAAUCAUGAGGCCAGUAUAUAGACUGGGGUAAAUGAGCCAUGCUACAGGACAAUGGCCAUCUAAGAUAUCCCCUCUGGAAUCAUGAUUCCAGAGGUAAUAUCUCUCUUUGAAGAGCUUGAUGAGGAGACCUUUACUGUCAGUGACUUUCUGUACCUUGCAUAUUAUUUGAAUUAAUGGGGAUAUGAGCAUGCCCAUUGUGAAACCUUUUAAGGACGUCAAAUCUCAUACUUCCACAACGUGAGCUGCCACUCUAACGAUUUGUA